rnacentral:other from 1 species
UACAUUCUGAGAUGUUCGAUGGCUCAUUAUUUUGAACCAACACAUUGCAUACGGGAACUUUAUAUCUUAUGGCGGAUGUGGAACCUUACAUAGAUUUGGUAGACAGAUGUUAUAAUGCGAGUACCCACCCAGUACAUACUGGGGUCAAAAUUUGAGGACGGCAUUUUGGAUAUAA